CCUACGGGAGGCAGCAGUGAGGAAUAUUGGUCAAUGGACGCAAGUCUGAACCAGCCAUGCCGCGUGCAGGAAGACGGCUCUAUGAGUUGUAAACUGCUUUUGUACGAGGGUAAAUCCCGAUACGUGUAUCGGGGUGAAAGUAUCGUACGAAUAAGGAUCGGCUAACUCCGUGCCAGCAGCCGCGGUAAUACGGAGGAUUCAAGCGUUAUCCGGAAUUAUUGGGUUUAAAGGGUGCGUAGGCGGUUCGUGAAGUUAGAGGCGAAAUCCCUGGGCUCAACUCCGGCCCUGCCUCUGAUACUGUCGGGGUAGAGUGUAGUUGCGGUAGGCGGAAUGUAUGGUGUAGCGGUGAAAUGCAUAGAGAUCAUACAGAACACCGAUUGCGAAGGCAGCUUACCAAACUACGACUGACGUUGAGGCACGAAAGCGUGGGGAGCAAACAGGAUUAGAUACCCGGGUAGUC
rnacentral:rRNA from 1 species